rnacentral:lncRNA from 1 species
CGGCUCCGUUAAACUUGAUCUAAAGUAUUUGGAGUACCUAGAAAAUAAAUUUUAUUAUUUUCGAUAUCAUUUGCCUAGUGAUCGAAUGUGCUCAAAAUCAACAAAUUUCAAUGGCUGUAGUGAGCCGUUUGCAAGUUUAACGGUGUAGAAAUAUCCAAAUCACGUGAAAUUUUGAUAGAAAAUUCUUUAUACUAUAUAAAACAAGAUCAAUAUCUUUGAUUUAAAAUUUUAAUGUCAUAUUAUUACAUUUUAUAAGAUUUUUAUUUUCAGCCGUUGAUUUUGAACCCCUUCGUUCAUUAGGCAAAUGAUAUCGUAAAAUCAUAAAAUUUAUUUUCUAGCUAAUUCAAAUACUCUAGAUCAAGUUUAACGGAGCCGAUCGACGAUUUGAAAGCCGUAACAUCGAAAACGAGCUGGAAGCACGGAAGGCUCCGUGCUUCCGAUAGCUUAGUAGCCUCACUCUCUCUAUAUA